GUUCCCAGUUCUUGCGGUAGUGAAUAAGUAUCAUGAGAUCUGACGGUUUUUAUAAGGGGUUUUGCCUUUCACUUGGCUCUCAUUCUCUCUUGUCUAUCCUCAUGUAAGACAUGCCUUUCACCUUACUGUGAGUCCAUUAAACCUCUUUUUCUUUAUAAAUUACCCAGCCUUGGGUAUGUCUCUAUCAGCAGCAUAAAAACAGACUAAUUCACUGGCAAACUUGGUGCCAAUUUAGUGCUAACUAUAUGAGUACACACACACACGCACACACACACACAGAAUUUAAACCGAGGUCUUAAGUUAUCUAAAGCAUAAACCUUUAUUCUGUAUUGUAUUUCAUUAUUUUCACUGCUAUUUUAGGUAUAUAUAUUCAAGUGGAGGAAAUAGAACACACAUGCGAGAGAAUCACUUUCUGAGAGAGCUGAAGACUAUUUGAUGGACCACCAUAAAUUUCAUCAAAGGAAACAGAGCAGAGAAUUGACCAAUAACAAACAGCUGGAAAUGAAAGAACUGUGGGCAAGGUAAUGACGAAGUAAUUACCCUGGGUUUAACUCAAGGUCUAAACUUUUCUAGUUUAUCUUAAUGAAACACUAUGCUCUGCCUACGUAAAUCAUAUAUUUCUAUUAUAUGAUUAGUAAUAAAAUGACUAUUUAUAUAGCUGAAAAAAAUGUCUGGCA
rnacentral:lncRNA from 1 species